rnacentral:rRNA from 1 species
AGAGUUUGAUCAUGGCUCAGGACGAACGCUGACGGUGUGCUUUAGGCAUGCAAGUCGAACGAGAAAGCCCUUCGGGGUGAGUAAAGUGGCGAACGGGUGAGUAACACGUGGGCAACCUGCCCCUCGCAGGGGGACAACCGGAGGAAACUCCGGCUAAUACCCCGUACGCUUGUUGGAUCGCAUGGUCCGGCAAGGAAAGGUAGCUUCGGCCAUCCGGCGAGGGAUGGGCCCGCGUUGCAUUAGCUAGUUGGUGGGGUAACGGCCUACCAAGGCGACGAUGCGUAGCUGGUCUGAGAGGAUGAUCAGCCACACUGGGACUGAGACACGGCCCAGACUCCUACGGGAGGCAGCAGCCAGGAAUCUUGGGCAAUGGGCGAAAGCCUGACCCAGCAACACCGUGUGGGCGAUGAAGGCCUUAGGGUCGUAAAGCCCUGUUGAUAGGGACGAAGGGCGAAGGGUUAAUAGCCCCUAGCUUGACGGUACCUUUCGAGGAAGCCCCGGCUAACUACGUGCCAGCAGCCGCGGUAAUACGUAGGGGGCGAGCGUUGUCCGGAAUUAUUGGGCGUAAAGAGCGUGUAGGCGGUUCGGUAAGUCUGCUGUGAAAUCCUGGGGCUCAACCCUGGGCGUGCAGCGGAUACUGCCGGGCUAGAGGGUGGUAGAGGCGAGUGGAAUUCCCGGUGUAGCGGUGAAAUGCGCAGAUAUCGGGAGGAACACCAGCAGCGAAGGCGGCUCGCUGGGCCAUUCCUGACGCUGAGACGCGAAAGCUAGGGGAGCGAACAGGAUUAGAUACCCCGGUAGUCC